UAUUGUGCUGCUGUGUUUCAGGACCAGUCUUCUGGACUUAAGCUUUGUAAAAGGAUAAAUUGCAGGUUGAGACCUAGAAAAUUCCACCAUCAACAAAGAAAGGACUCAAGCCAGGAAACAUUUAAAAGACUCCUAGGAAAAGAGAAGGAAAAAAAAGAGAACCCAGACGGUAAAAGAUAAUAUUGCUAAAGUUAGGCAGAAGCCCUCCCAAUGAAAAGGAACAAGAAAUAAGGACACCCCACGCAGCGAGGAAUAAUGCUGCACACGUUACUGAAAGGUCGGCCCGCAGGGCUGCCUCCACCUGGGGUGGACCAAUGCCCGAAGGCUGUGCUGUGGGCGGUGCUUCCGCUGCUAGGAGAUACCCGCUGGCUCCUUGGGGAGACCGGAUUUUCUUAAAAUAUUUUUUUACCGUGCUCUUAUUUGCUACUUUCUUUAAUUUGCUGUUCAGGGAUAAAAAUUUGAUCUGUUUUUGUUGGGAGAUACGCUUUCCAUAGGGGCUGGCUAUGAUUUCCCACCCACCGGCUCCUCUUGGCUCUAAGGAAUUUCUUACCCCCAGGCUUGGAAGCUGUUUCUGGAAGAAAAGGCUGUCAGAGCAGAGUGAGGUUUUGUCUUCCAAUGUAAUUCCUACUCUGUGGGGGCCUAUUCUUCCAUCCAAGUCUCCAACCUGGAGCUUAAACCUGAAGGUAAGAUGGACAAGCCUGGAAGACAGACACAAAGCACAGGUGCUGGUGUUCUCCCUGACCAAGAACAAGAGUAAUUGGAAUGCGGGAAAGCAUUUGAUGAAUCAUUAGAAAGAGCCUCAAAUAUACUGGAAAGUUCCCUGCUGAAAAGAUGAGGUAUUGAACCUAUGCAGACAACUGGAUGUGGAUCAUAUGUACUAUAUACCACUGGGAGCAAUGAGCUGCCCCUCCCUGACUUUUAGGGGUGAGUAAAGCAGCCUCCCAGAAAAAUAUGGCAGAGGAAAGUCAGGCUUCAGGAUUUCAGUUGUCUCCCAGAUUUUCAGUUGUUCCAUCUCAUUUUCUAUUCCACUGUAGCAUUUUCUCAUUCCUCCUCUCAGUGAUCUGGAUGUUUCUCCCUUUCUUCUAGAUCUCAAGACCAAUUAAACUACAGCAGCUGUUAUCAGAAAAUAACUUCAUUGAUAAUCAUAUUCAAGAAGGGGUGAGAGAGAGAGAAUGAGUGAAAGAGAGAGAGAGAGAGAGAAGGAGGGAGAGAGAGAAACAUGAUAAAGCAGAGACUGGAUAUAAUGGGGCAAAUUCCAUGUGGUUGUGUUUUGUGAUUCCCAUAUGCAUGUAGGCUUCCUUCUAGGCAUGUGAAAAAAAUGAGCUGUGAUACUUUCCUCCUUUAAAAAAUAUUUACAGAUCCUGCUUAAACUCACCAAUCCACAGUGAUUUCAUUUGUCUAACAUUCCAUGGAACUGGACAGGACAGAUUAGGUAUUGCUUUACUCUAAUUUUACAGAAGAGUUCUGUUAAUCCAUGAGGAAACCCAUAAAAAUCAGUCUACAGAGAUGCCCUUCUAGCUGUUUAUAAAACAACUGCAGCACACUGGAGCCUACUCCUCGGCAGAUGCUCAAUGAACUCUCCUUCAUGAGACCAGAUAUUCAUCUUGACUCUUUCAUGCGCUCUGAUUGCCUAACAUCUCCUUGGCUUUGCGGGUCAAACUCCUUUGUUGUGAUUAACGUUUAACCAUCCACCUCCCACGAGACUCUUGGAAGGACUUUAGGGAAUCUUUCCUGACUUCAAGCACUGUACUUAGGGACAAGAGUCACCAUGUCUUCUAAUCAAAGCUCCCACAUCCAGUUAGCCUUCUUCCUUUCUCUGCCUUCUCCACUUUGUUUAUUCUGCAGAAGGAGGGUUUCAUACAAAUGGUUUGGAAAUCAUAUAAAGGACGUUUUUGUUAGCAGAAAAUAAAAGUCAAUAGGGUCAAUACUCCUAAACA
ensembl:lncRNA